rnacentral:lncRNA from 1 species
GUGAAUCAGUCCCAGCAUCACACACUAGAUCCAGGCACCUCUGAAAAAUGAGGCUCCCCACCUGUGAGCGCAUGAGGCUUUGGGGGGACAUCUAGACACAAGCCUAACAGUUGCUCAGCUGCCCAGGCUAGGACUGAAUUUGCCUCAGCUUCCCAGAGUGCUGGGAUUACAGGUGUGUGCCAGCACACGCGACUUGUGUAUCCGCUUUAACUGGCUUCUGGGGGCUGGGAGGGGCAAGGGGCUUAUCAACCCUUCAAUUCCGCCAGUCAGCAGCUUGGCGAUGGAGAGCAAGGCUGGGUUUUGGGUGAAGACAGGCUGGGGCUUCUUAGCACAGGGCGACGCGAGGCAGUGGGGGCUCAGAGCCCCUCCCUCCUUUGGUCCGUUAGGCCCCUCCCCCAGGAGCUGCUACCCACUCCAUCAGGGAGUAGGGCACACAGGGUCGCAGGUCUGGGCAUGGAGUCUCACUCUGUCCCUCACUUCCUGCGGGAUCCGGUCCGGGUUUCUGCAGGGUUUGUGCGGACCCCCAGGUAUGGGACCGAAGACGCCCUCGAUGGAGCGCCUUGGAUCCCUGCUCGGGUACUGUUUCCUGCGGUCAUAGCGCCCCGGGGUGGCGGAGGCUUCGGCGACUAGGAAUCUUGCUGCAAGACAGAGACUCACUAUGUUGCCCAGGCUGACCUUGAACUCACUCGAUCCUCCUGCCUCACCCUGCAGAGUGCUGGUAUUACAGAUGUGCGCCAUCACAUCCAGCUCGUUUAGAAAAAGGAAAACAAUAAUAAAAAAGAGACAGCGUAGGAAAGCAUGGUGACCACUCUGACACAUAGUAGGUGCUCAUGUAAAUGAGGGUCUGUUCCUGGGGCCGCAUGACGACACUGCCAGCUCCUGCUUUGACAUUUAUGUGCGCAUUACCUCCUACUCAGAGCCCAGGUUUGAUGUAAAUCAGCUAAAUUAAAAGGAAAAUAUAUAGGCAAAGGAAGUCCUAUCAACAGACAAAAAAGGACAAACAAAAAACCUGACUGUACAAGUCUAUAAAAAUCCAUAUUACAGCAUGCUGCUCUGAACCUAUAAAUUGGAAACACGUGAAGCUGCCCCACAUGGCCUGAAGAUCUCGUCCUUCACACGGGAACAGGAAAUGCAGCCACCUCCAUCGGGCACGGGAGCCCGGAGUGGGCACUGCCAGCAGCCCGGCCACCCCCCUCCCAAAGCACAGGCAUCAGAAGGGAGCUUACCCAGCACCGACCCCAGCCCUGCCCCAUGAGGUAAAUGUCAAACAGAUGUCCUCAAAGAGUGGAAAAAUGAAAUGAAAAGCACAUUUAGGAUUUAUAGAGCUGAAAACCAAAAACCAGUGGAAAUUAGUACUCUGAGGCGUGGCUCAGCUUGCUGGUAAUGUGAGUUGGUUUUUUUCUUUAUCACCAUAGCACUUGCGAAUUUGCUUCCAGAUCCCCAGCAGUCAUAGGGAGGGUGUGGCCUUAAUUUGGUAAAGAGGUGGGACUUAGUGAGCAUCCACAGCCCUUCAGGGUCUGACAGUG